UACGAAGGGGGCUAGCGUUGUUCGGAAUUACUGGGCGUAAAGCGCGCGCAGGCGGUCUUCCAAGUCAGUGGUGAAAGCCCGGAGCUCAACUCCGGAACUGCCAUUGAAACUGUUGGACUUGAGUACGAGAGAGGGAUGCGGAAUUCCAGGUGUAGCGGUGAAAUGCGUAGAUAUCUGGAGGAACACCGGUGGCGAAGGCGGCAUCCUGGACCAUUACUGACGCUGAGGAGCGAAAGCCAGGGGAGCAAACGGG
rnacentral:rRNA from 1 species